ensembl:lncRNA
CGGCCGUGGUCGGUGGGCUCGGCGGGCUCAGCGUUUGAGGGCGGCGGCGGGGGUGAGCGGAGCCGGGCCCGCAAGUCCCCGGGAGGAGACGGUGCUGGGCGAGGUCCCCUGCGUAAGGUGGGCGCUGUGACAGGCCGGCCAGUGAGGCGCCACAGGGGGAGGCCGCAACGGAGCUCCCGGACCGGCCGUGGGCUGAGACACCUCCUCGCUAAGCAGUGACCCUUCCUACCCCACCAGAACAUGCCCGGGUGACUUACUCCCAGAUCUUCCUUGUGGCCUUCCUCGCGCACUCCAGUGACAGUAUGCACCCCCACCGUGACCCGAGAGGCCUCUGGCUUCUGCUGCCAUCCUUGUCCCUGCUGCUUUUUGAGGUGGCCAGAGCUAGCCGAUUGGUGGUUAACCGCCCCUCCUGCCUCCUACACGCCGCCGCUGCCGCCCCUCCUACGUCCUUGAUGCCGCCGCCGCCGCCGCCCUCCUACAUCUGAAAAUUGUUUUCAGACACUGGACAACAGCAGCACACUUUGAUUUGCUGAGAAACAGGAAACUUAAAGGGGAAGUCCCAUGAUUUCCUUGUUCUUUGGUGGGGACAAUUUCUCACCAGCUGCACUGCGGGCUAAAGUCCACUCAGAGCAGGGCAGCCCACUGAUCUGAGAAGGCAGAGAUCAGAGUUCAGGGCUGCUGAAGCAACUGCAACCUGCAGGGUAGGGCAUCAGUGAGGACACAGCUGUGCAGAGGGGCAGCUCCCAAAGUCCACGUGGGGUCCCAUUUGCAUACUUAUCAAGGACUGAACUCUACCCGCACAAAAAAAGACUAAUAGAUUUAACAGAGGGGUGGCUGCUACAAAAUUAUGUUUGGACCAGAGGUACUUCAGGUGGAGGAGCAUUGGGGAAUGAAUGGGCGAUGGAGUUCCUGCCAUCCGUGGUGGGGGAACGACGUCAUGCACACCUCAUUAGCACCCAGGACUCUUCAUGAUGGUCUAACCUGGUUACAUGUCCUGGUUCCUUGGAAACCCUCACAUAAUCUAUGCUACUGUCAGAGUUAUCAAAUGGAGAUGUCCAAAAAUGACUACAUAUUAUGUAAGUUACAAUCUCAUGUGUCACUUACAGAGCUCGUGUGUCACAUCUGGGCUAGAUCAUUUCCUAGUAUGGAAGGAAGGCUCUUUGGGGACUGAUGGUGGUGAUGGUGGUGGUCUCAGCCUUGUUGUUGCUUUAUGUGUGCCUCGCAAUUGAUUUUAUUCUGGAGUACAAUAAUAUAAGUUAAUAAAAUUUGAUACUAGGUAAGAUUUAUGAUUCUCAAAAGGUUUAUUUGCAGCCUGUUCUUCUGUGUUGUCUCCAUUUCAGGUAAAUAUUCUCUUAUGCAAUUCCCUGAUGUUUCUUAAAACAGAGCUCAUGUCCUUUGCAGGAACAUGGAUGGAGUUGGAGGCCAGUGUUCUUAGCAAACCAGCUCAGGAACAGAAAACUGAAUACUGCAGGUUCUCACUUAUAGGUGGCAGCUAAAUAAUAAAACACACCAACACAAAGAGGGGAACAAGAGACACUGGGGCUUACCUGAGGGUAAAGGGUGGGAAGAGGGAGAGGAGCAGAAAAAAUAACUAUUGGGUACUAGGUGUAGUACCUGCAUGAUGAAAUAAUGCAUACAACCUGAGUUUAUAUAACACACUUCUACACAUAUUCCUGGACCUAAAAUAAAUUUUAUAAAAAUGAUGAGUGUUGGCCAAGUCAAACCAGAAUAAUCAGUGUGUAGGGUCAUGGUUAGCUUAUGGG